GGGUGGUAAUGCCGGAUGCUCCGGUUGGAUGCAUGUCCUUCCGGGAAAGGUUCCAUCGGUAUGGGAUGGGGUCGCGUCCUAUCAGCUUGAUGGCGGGGUAACGGCCCACCAUGGCUUCGACGGGUAGCCGGCCUGAGAGGGCGACCGGCCACAUUGGGACUGAGAUACGGCCCAGACUCCUACGGGAGGCAGCAGUGGGGAAUAUUGCACAAUGGGCGCAAGCCUGAUGCAGCGACGCCGCGUGCGGGAUGGAGGCCUUCGGGUUGUAAACCGCUUUUGAUCGGGAGCAAGCCCUUCGGGGUGAGUGCACCUUUCGAAUAAGCACCGGCUAACUACGUGCCAGCAGCCGCGGUAAUACGUAGGGUGCAAGCGUUAUCCGGAAUUAUUGGGCGUAAAGGGCUCGUAGGCGGUUCGUCGCGUCCGGUGUGAAAGCCCAUCGCUUAACGGUGGGUCUGCGCCGGGUACGGGCGGGCUGGAGUGCGGUAGGGGAGACUGGAAUUCCCGGUGUAACGGUGGAAUGUGUAGAUAUC
rnacentral:rRNA from 1 species